rnacentral:rRNA from 1 species
UCAGUGGCGAAACGGGGUGAGUAAACACGUGAGCAAACCCUGCCUUCUGCUCUGGGAUAACCCGGGAAACCGGGGCUAAUACCGGAUAUGAGUGCCUGCCGCAUGGUGGGUGUUGGAAAGUUUUUCGGCAGAAGAUGGGCUCGCGGCCUAUCAGCUUGUUGGUGGGGUAAUGGCCUACCAAGGCGGUGACGGGUAGCCGGCCUGAGAGGGUGAUCGGCCACACUGGGACUGAGACACGGCCCAGACUCCUACGGGAGGCAGCAGUGGGGAAUAUUGCACAAUGGGCGAAAGCCUGAUGCAGCGACGCCGCGUGAGGGAUGACGGCCUUCGGGUUGUAAACCUCUUUCAGCAGGGACGAAUUAGGACGGUACCUGCAGAAGAAGCACCGGCUAACUACGUG